rnacentral:misc_RNA from 1 species
GAUGAAGAACGUAGUGAAAUGCGAUAAGUAGUGUGAAUUGCAGAAUUCAGUGAAUCAUCGAAUAUUUGAACGCACAUUGCGCCCUUUGGUAUUCCUUAGGGCAUGCCUGUUCGAGCGUCAUUUAAACCUUCAAGCCCUGCUUGGUGUUGGGUGCCUGUCCCGCCCCCGCGCGUGGACUCACCUCAAAUCCAUUGGCGGCCCCCGCAAGGCCACGAGCGCAGCAGAAACGCAAACUCGUGUGCCCGGCGGGCGGCUCCCAGAAGCUACACCCACCAUUUUGACCUCGGAUCAGGUAGGGAUACCCGCUGAACUUAAGCAUAUCAAUAAGCGGAGGA